rnacentral:rRNA from 1 species
UACAGGGGGUGCAAACGUUGCUCGGAAUCAUUGGGCGUAAAGCGCACGUAGGCGGUUCGUUAUGUCGGAUGUGAAAGCCCUUGGCUUAACCGAGGAAGUGCAUCCGAAACUGGCGAGCUAGAGUACUAAAGAGGAUCGCGGAAUUCCCGGUGUAGAGGUGAAAUUCGUAGAUAUCGGGAGGAACACCGGUGGCGAAGGCGGGUCUCUGGGCCGAUACUGACGCUGAGGAGCGAAAGCUAGGGGAGCAAACAGG